rnacentral:rRNA from 1 species
AUGCGUGAGAAUGAAUCGGUUGACCAUCUCUUCUUCAAAUGUCGUUUCACCGUUCGCCUAUGGGGCUUGGUCAAGGCGUGGCUGCAACUCAUUCACAUUGACACCUCUACUUGGCCCCUGAGGCAUUCCACCUUAGACUGGUGGCUUGGGUUGACUGAUGCUUUCGUCCCCAACCGGAAGGCCAUGGCCUCGCUCACCAUGCUCACUACAUGGACGAUCUGGAACGAGCGAAACGCACGUGUAUUCCGCAACAUGGCCGCUCCGCCUACGGUUCUUCUCGACAACAUCAAAAGGGAGGCAUCAUUUUGGGUCGCCGCUGGAGCUAAGAAGCUAGGGUCCAUCAUGCCGGGAGAGUGA